rnacentral:rRNA from 1 species
AGUACGAUCGCAAGAUUAAAACUCAAAGGAAUUGACGGGGGCCCGCACAAGCAGCGGAGCAUGCGGCUUAAUUCGACGCAACGCGAAGAACCUUACCAAGGCUUGACAUAUAGCGAAAAGUGGCAGAGAUGUCAUGUCCGCAAGGGCGCUAUACAGGUGGUGCAUGGUUGUCGUCAGCUCGUGUCGUGAGAUGUUGGGUUAAGUCCCGCAACGAGCGCAACCCUCGUUCUGUGUUGCCAGCAUUUAGUUGGGGACUCACAGGAGACUGCCGGGGUCAACUCGGAGGAAGGUGGGGAUGACGUCAAAUCAUCAUGCCCCUUAUGUCUUGGGCUGCACGCAUGCUACAAUGGCCGGUACAAAGGGCUGCGAAACCGCAAGGUGGAGCGAAUCCCAAAAAGCCGGUCUCAGUUCGGAUUGGGGUCUGCAACUCGACCCCAUGAAGUUGGAGUUGCUAGUAAUCGUAGAUCAGCAACGCUACGGUGAAUACGUUCCCGGGCCUUGUACACACCGCCCGUCACGUCACGAAAGUCGGUAACACCCGAAGUCAGUGGCCCAACCGCAAGGGGGGAGCUGCCGAAGGUGGGAUCGGUGAUUGGGACG